ensembl:lncRNA
AUGACCUUGGCCUUGCUGUUGCCACUGAGUACGAGAGCACUUCAAAUUCCCCACCUGCACUCCAGCUGGAGGAUUAUAGAAUGAAAAGAGCUGUAGUGGAUGAAACAGUUCUUUUUUUUUUUGCCAACUUGAUUUUAAUUACACAGCAUGUCAUAAACUUUAGAAAAUGUAUUUAGAUUUAAAAAAAAAUGUAUGGUGUGGAGGAGCAUGGGAGGGGGAAGUGGAUGCUUGAGCUAACUAAGGGACAAAAGAAAGUUGCUCCAAGUGAUGAACAGAUGUGAAAAUGCCGAUAAUGCACACUUGUGGAACAAAGGGGUCAUCCAGAUGAAGAAUAUUCUCUUGCUGCAGUAGUUUAUUCCUGUAAUCCUUAUGUGAAGUUUUGAUUGAAGAUUAAUGCAAUACCAGUGAGGGCUUCGUUGCUUGUGGUGCUGAUGUCAGAUGAAGUGACUUCCUCAAAGUCAUGGCAAAUCUGUGGCCAAGGAUGUUUUCUUAUUUGGAGAGUGGUGGGGCCCUGGCACUGCUACCCAGAGAGCUGUGGGUGUCCCAUCCCUGGAGGUGCUCAGGUCCAGGCUGGAUGGGGCCCUGGGCAGCCUGAGAUGGUGGGGGGCAACCUGCCCAUGGUAGGAGGUUGAAACUCAGUGGUCUUUAAGGUCCCUUCCAAUCUACACCAUUCGAUGAUUCAUGAUUCUAUGAUGCUUUGUGAUUUCCCAUAUUUCCAAUAGUGGCUUUUGGCUUCAGCUCAUCCAAAGGCCUGUAAAAGGGAGAUGGAGGUGGAAGGAGUUAUUUACACUCAGCUGGAGUGAGGUGGGAGGAUGCAAAUGGGAAAUAAUGCAACUUCCCGCGCUAUAGAUGUCAGAAUAAAUUCUCUUCCCUGUUUGAGCAGAGGUUGGAAGGGGCACACAGGGAUUGGGGGUUGACCUGAUAAAAUUCCUCCUCACUCUUGCAUUGAGAGACAGCUUGUAAAAAUUACACAAUUGUCUUUCUGGUUGUGUCAAAACAGUAGUGUGAGCUGGGGUUUGAAGACAAGCCCAACCAAUGUGAACGCUGUCUGAAGCUGGUUCCGACCUCUCCAGGCAGACGCCUCCAGAUGUCAGGAGUGACCGGCUUUGUUUUAUGUGGGAGAUAGGAGGCAACUACAAGCUGGAGUAAUUGUGAAAUUCCAUAUGGCAAAGCUUCUUGUUUGAAAGGGCAUGAAAAGAAAAAGAUAAAAAAUUCAGAACCAUGUGGAAGAAAAGGCAAACAGCUACUUGGAGCAGGUCUGGCUCCAGGGGAGCAGCUGGGCUGAGCCCCAGUCCUGUACAGACUGAGGAUUUCAUCCCAGAUCCUUUUGCCUCGCAGCCAGCUGCCUACCACCCCCAGUGCUCUCCAAAUGGCUCUGUUUGUUUGCUAUCAUCCACACACCUUUUUGCAUAUGUUGUUGUUGUGGGUGUUUUGCUCUUUUUCAGCGCUAUGUGGCAGUUUUCUGCUCUAGGCUGAAGAGCAUCUUGAUGUGAAUGUGAACCCAGAAGUUUUGACACGCCAUGAAUGCUGACUGAAAAAAAGCUGGAUCAAUAAGAACAAAAUGUAGAACAGAAGAGCUUCAUCACGCACACAAACUACUUUUCAUCCCUCUCUAAUAACUGAGGUUUCUCUCUGGUUUCUCUUAGUAGUGUGAGGCAUUAAGCAUAUCAGAACAGCUAUCAAAUGUCCAGCUAGCACAGGAAUUUUCUCAAAAAGUGGCUGAGGGUGGUUGCUAAAGAAUUAACGAGAGGGAGACAGGUAUGCAGUGACAAUCUCCCAGCCACCAGGGAUCAAUGGGCUACAUCCCUUGCCAGCUUGUGACCAGCCAACCACCUUCCAGAGAUGCCCAAUCUGUGCUUUUAGUGACUUACCCAGAAGAGGAAAGGUCCUCAGAGAGCCCAAGGGCAACAUCCUCAUCCUCAUUAGUGCUGGAUCCCUGCCAAGGGAGUCCCAUUAGUUGGCUGAACAUCAUCAUAGUCUAUCAUAGUACGCAUAGGAAGGGGUCAUUAAGUUGCUGCCAGCUCUCCAGGGGCCACGUCUACCUACUGACUUUACCACUGAAGUGGAAACUCCUGGGUAGGGACAAUUUUUGCAGGAUGUUUAUAAAGGACAUAGCACAUGACAAUACAGAGGUACAAGGCAUUGUGGCUUCUGGUUUCAAGCUCUGGACUGAAGGGCUCUAAGCCAUCUCCAGUGGGCUACACUCCUGAUUUCCCCGGGACAUGCUUUUGGGUAGCUGGGCAUUUGCUUCACACAACUUGCCUGAGUAGCAGGGCUAUUCCACAGGUGCUCUGACCAUGGGUCUCUGCAUCUUCCUAUUUCCCAGGAAUGCAUCCCAUUGACAGGUAGCCAUGCCACAGCUCAGAAAUCUGUACCAGAGCCUGAAGGGAGGUGGGGAGCUCUGCAUAUCCUCCAGUCCAGGCUGUUACCACUGAUCAGUGCCAGUGUGCAGUGUGUGCCCUGAUAUCAAUGUGAUGAAUGUUGUGCUGACUUCGACAUUGUGUGCGCCUGUGUACUGAAUAUUGUCUGCUGGAAAGUAAAUAACAGCAGAUGAGCAAAUGGGGCUGUGAAGACAUUUCAAUGUCCAUAAUGUUUCCAUCCACAAAAUGCAGCAGUUAUGCAUCAUUUUAAUGGUAGGAAUAGAUAAGCAGUCAGCUAUCCGUAUCUGGGAAAUCAAAAAGGAAAGCAACAUCAGAGGAAAUAGAUAGGCAGUGGGUGUUCAAGGGCAAUGAGUCAUCCUUGCCACAAAUACGGCUUAGAAUGAGGAAUACUAAUAAUUAGGAAACAUAUUUCAAAAGUUCAGUUCUUUCCUCCUUUCCCAAAUUAUCUUACAUGCCCUGGGGACAUUUUGGAAUGACAAUGUCUGUAUUAGGAGGCAGACAUGAGGAAAAUCCACUGUAGGAAGAAAUGACCAAAUAAUAUAGAAGAAUAAAAUUAAGCUGUAGAACUUUUUUUUUUCCUGAAACUCAGAUUGCUCCCAAAGAUAAAACUGGCAUGAUGGAGGUCAACCUGUAAGAAUAAACUUACUCGAGGUAAGGCCAGUCCCCAUUGACUUCUGUGCUUACAGGAGACAUCACCAGCUCCUCUUUUUCCCCUUCUCCAUUAUACUCAUUCUCUUGAGCUUGCUCUGCUCUGGAAUCAGUGGAUGAAAUGAAUCCAGUGGGUGAAGCUGGGAGGAGGUCAUUUGCCUCCCAUUUUGGUACUCUCUUUCCCAGCAGUGGGACCACUCAAAGCUCAUUUCAUCUGCUUUGCUGGAGCUGCCUAGAGUGGGAAGCAAAAUGGAUUUCAGCCUUGCAUCAGACUACGUUUAAGCCUAGCCCAAAUCCUGGACUGUCCGAACUUGAAAUUUCCAAAGAGCAGAUCAGGAUAAAGAAUGUGAAUUGCACUUCAACUCUUGGUGUUUAGGGGUGCUCCAGCCCUGAAGGUGUCAAGGCCAGGCUGGAUGGCGCCCUGGGCAGCCUGAUCUGAGGGGGGGCUUUAAGACCCCUUCUGACCUAAGCCAUUCUAUGAUUCUCUGAUUCUAUUCCAGCUUCCUGUGAGCCAGAAGCAGGAUAAAUGAUAGUCUCUGUCUUCAGUUAUUAGGGUUUCAAGGGAAGAAGUCUCUUUGGACCUUCAGCGUCUCUGAGUGUGACACAGUUAACAAGUAUUCCUAAAAGCUCUGAAUCACAGACAGAUGUCUGGACCUGUGCUGGCUAGAGGCUAAUCACUUUCUGAACUGGAAUAAACCCUAAACUAGCAAACACAAGUCCUGGUGAAACAGCAGGGCUGCAGCAUCAUCCCCCUUCAUUUCCCUUUUUCCCUUGGCUGCAGAGCUCUCAUUGCAGCAGCCUGACUUCAAACACUGACAAAUGUCACUGCUGACACUGCUAUGGAGGGUGCACACCAUCAUUAUAAUCUGUAUGCAUUUAGCCAUCCCAGCAUGAUAAGAGAAUGAUUAGGAGAAUAGUUAGAGAGUAAAUUAAAAACUCCCAGCAGUUUUCUGUGUGAACCUACUAACUUACAGGCAUAUUUUUUUCACAGCAUUACUGAAAAAUGCCAUUAGUUAUACCUGUGACUACAUGUUAGAUUUAAACCCCUGGUGAGAAUUUUUAUUAAUAUACAAAUAUGUUAGGGCUCUUAUGCUGCUUAAAAUGUAAUUAACCAUCUUCUGAAGAUUAAGAGUACAUAAUCAUAAAAGAACUGCACUCUUGUGCAUUUAAUUCUUCUAAUCUGCUUUAUGUUGAUGUUAGUGUGGAAGAAUAAUUGCUAGUUUGCCUUAAUAGUUUGGGUUUCUGCUAUAGGAAGAAAUUGUUAGUGAAUGUAUUUCUAAACUUCAGAUUUGGUGUGCUUGCACCGAUGAAAGACGAUAAAGUGCAAACUGAGAAUAGGAAAACUUGCUGCUUUUAUCCUGCUGCUGCAAAUGCCCAGCAGUGGCAAAGCUGUAUUUCAGCUUCGAAAAAGAGAACAGGAUGAGCAUAUCCAGUGAAUGACAAAGGUAUGAGCAAUAAACUCCAAGUAAUCUCUUUAAGCACUAAUUUAAACACAUAAGGUGUCAACCAAGCCAUGGGGGGAUCCAACAAGGCUUUUCAAGAAGGCUGUGGGAGCUGAGCUCAUCACUCAUUACAGAACAUAGUAUUGGAAUUGUCCAUCCUUCCAGGACUGCCACAAUCUUCAUACAAUGGCCAUCACGUUUAACUGAAAAGAGGUUAAAACCCUCAGAGAUGCAGACUGCCGCUCUUUAGGGGUAUUUCCUUCCUGGCAACAUGAUCGAUAAACCAUUAGGUAACUCUGAUGACUGUGCAAAAAUCAGCCUUUUUCCUCCUCCUCUCUCCCAGCGUUGCUUCCUGAAUGCUAAGAAGAGGUUAAGGAAGAGCACUGAAUGCUGCGGGUUGCCACCACUGUGCAGUGUGGGCAGUCAGUUCACAGGGGAGCCUAUGGGGCAGGAACACCCAUGGAAAACGUGGACAAAAAAAGCCCACAGUGCUCCUGCUGUGAUGAAGGGGAUGGAGACUGGCUGUUGCUCCUUGAAGACCACCAGAGCAGGGAGCUUCCUCCUCGCUUGAAGCGUCUAAGAGCUCUGCAAGGCGCUGGGAGAAAACCAGCCUCCAUCACCAACUUCAGGGGUUGGAAAAUAAUUGGAAAAGAAUCCCCCAUGUAUUUUUUCUUCUAUGACUCAUGAAUUUCAGUGGGGUCCCUCAGCGCACAUCUCUCCAUGGGGUCACAGUGCCUUGUGGCAGGCAGCUGUGUCCAGUCGGGACCCAGUUCUAGGGGAGAGCGGUGACAGUGUGACCGCAGGGAGCAGCGGUAUGCAGCCCGAGAAGGGCUCCUCGGCUGCUUUCUGCUUGUUUUCAUUACUUCCAAAUGAAUGCACAGCCUUUAUUGAAAGUCGCUUGUUUUCAGUGCAGCUUCCUUUUGAGGCAGGUGUGACAGUCAGCAUUGCUCUGGGCCUUACACCAUGCUCAGUUCUCCAGGCUUCCGGCUGCAGCUCCUCAAGUCAAAACCCACACAGACAACAUAGAUGUUCCUGUGGGCUUUCUAUGUCCGGCGAGGGUCAGCUGUGGGUUAGGGAAAGGCUGUGCCCCAGAGGGCAGUGGGCAUGGAACAGCCUGCCCAGGGCAGUGGGCAUGGCCCCAGUGCUGAGGCUCAGGGAGUGCUGGGAUGCCGCUCUCAGACAUAGGGUACGUGGGGCUGAAGGGCCCUGCCAGCCCACAGCAGGCCACGGCCCUGUGCCCGCUGUGGCUUGACUCAAAGCAUUCCAGAGAGGAAUAAAUACAGGUUAAGUACUAAAAUCCUACUGAAACCGUGCAGGAGCUGAGUGCUCAGUUCCCUCAAGAUUUUUUAGGCAGGUGGAAUAUAUCUAUCUAAGCCAAGGAAAAGGACACCAGGCUUCCAACCCUAGCUCUGCUUAAGGUCUGUUACUGCAAAUAACCUUGUACAAAGUGGAGUAGAUAACCUGAUUAAUUCUGCUUGCCAUUCAAGCUUGCAUUAAAUAAGACGUGUAACUUCAGACAGAAAGCCAGCCAUUCUUCUGUUCUAACAGUCUGCUGUCAACGCAGGACAAUAAAAUAUGAAUAUUUUAGAUUCAUAGUGCAGACAAAUAGGAAAUAGGAGCUGUAUUGUGCUUCACAUGCACGGCUAGCUCAGUAAUGCUAACGUGAUUAUCUCAUUGAACUUUUGUGCCAUCGCUUAAGGGCAGCUUUGUCUUGCUUAGCUGGGAUGUACAUAUUUGUUUCUUCCAUGCAUAGCUCCAUAGUCUUUUUUAAGCUUGUGGAAAUGGGAAAAUCUGAUUUUCCUCCUCAGCCACAAGGUAGCAUCAUUCCUUGGCAUUGCUUGGACCAGUACGUCUUAAGUGCAAUUUUUACAGGUUCCUACCAAAAUAUUUUAAUGUCUGCAGCUAGAUUUCCAGACAGAAACAUGGGAAAAUCACACCAGAAUUUAAAAUAUGAAUUAUAGCGUGGUUCACUCUCUGUAACAGAGAGACAAGGAGGGUAAUCAAAACAUGAAAUAUUCUGAUUCAUUCCUCUCCCUAAGCAGAAAAAAAAUGUUUUCAGGAUUAGUGGGGGUUUGGUCUAGAUGGGCUGCCAUUUGGUUAUUCAGCUGUGAGAUUCAUUACCUGGGCAGGCUGGCUUUGCCAGCCCUGAGAUCACAGCAAUAGCAUGCACCUGACGUGGGGUGGCAAAAAAAGCUGGGUGAAUUCAACUCUAAUGAAAACAUCUUGCCACACUGACCCAAAAAACCAUCAAUCUGAGUACUCAGUUCCCUUUUUAAUAUCUAAAUCCUUUUAUUUUCUCUGUGCUGGAUUUGUUUUAUAUUUCCCUUUUAAGUUAGCACUUUGUGUGGGGGUGGAUGUUACGAAGACCAGUUUUGAUGGAAAGUAGAUUGAGCCUUGAAGACUUUCAUCACUGCAUUAUAGCUCUGCUCCCUCCACCCCUCACUGAUAUCCCUCCAUUUACAUGAGUAUUGGACAGGACUUAGGAAUCAGCCCUGACUUGGCCAGUUUUAUUGGGUUUAUGUGGCAAUGUUUUGGUAGCAGGAGGCUGCAGGUGUGGCUUGUGUGAAUAGGCCAAGACCUGCCCCAUCUUAAAUCAAAGCCAGUUCCAACCAGCUCUAAAGGUGACCGACUGCUGCCCACAGCUGAGCCAAUCGGUGAUGCUGGUGGCACCUCAGCGAUAACACACUUAAGAAAGGGUAAAAUACAUUCUGCAGCAGUUGUGAGAGAGAGGAAUGAGAAAAUGUGAGAGAAAACUCUGCAGACACCAAGGUUAGGGAAGAAGGAGGGGGAAGAGGUUCUCUAGGCACCGGAGCACGCAUUUCUUGACAGCCCAUGAAGAGGACCAUGGUGAUGGAAGCAGACCAUGGAGGAACCCAUGCCACAGCAGGUGGAUAUCCUGAAGGAAGCUGAAGCCAGCCAACACAGGAGCAGGCUGGAGCUGUAUCCAUGCAGAAGGGACCAUGCUGGAGCAGUCUCCUGUUUAUGGAUGGUACCUUGCACAGAGGACCCGUGCUGUAGCAGUUCUUGAAGGAUUGCUUCCCAUGGGAAGGACCCCAUUCUGGAGCAGGGGAAGAGUGUGAGGAGGAAGGAGUGACAGAUGUGGAC